rnacentral:lncRNA from 10 species
CGCCCUCCUUCCCGCCCCCGUCCUUUCCUAGACUUCACUCAAGUCCUCUGCUCAGAGGAAGCCCUGCUCUACUGAAAGCCACAAGGCCAUUCUCGGUGGCCUGGGACAGCAGCCCAAGACGUGGGCUUCUAACUGCCUCCGAAGGGGCCACAGCAGCAAACAUAAAUAAAAAUAGUAAAAUGUUCUUAAAUUAUAAAUUUAAAAUUUGGAAAAUUUAGUGAGCACAGCUUCUAGGGGGCAUGUUUCCAAAAUUCCAACCACAAAAGUGCAGUCUCAAAACUGACUGUAAACCGAACAUACCAUCUCAUCUCAGACACAGCUAUUGUUCACGAGUGUCAGUGGAACUUUCCUCCCUUGAGAUGGACCAAAAACGUCAAGCAAGAUGACAUUUGCUGAUUUGCAGGCUUCAGGCAGAUAAGAUACGGGCAGAGUUGAGUGUGCGCCUUUACCCUUAAAUUCAGGAAUAGCAGGAACAGCAGGAAAAACGUAGGACCACAGCGUACGUCCCACUUGUCUUUCAUUUUGAUAUCAUUAUUUCCAGAGUCCUGAUUGCUAGUCAUGUCUAACACUGGAUUUAUUAUCAUCUCAUUGCUAGCAUGGCUAGGAAAGCUUUGAACAUCCUUAUCAUUCUAUUUUAAUUCCUAUUAUAAUUGCAUGGGGAAGUUCCAGGGUGGAAAAAUUUCCUUUUCUUUCUUUUUUUUUUUUUAAUAGGAGAGUUGGCUGGGCACGGUGGCUCACGCCUGUGAUCCCAACACUUUGGGAGGCCAAGGCGGGUGGAUCACCUGAGGUCAGGAGUUCGAGACCAACCUGGCCAACAUAGUGAAAACCUAUCUCUACUAAAAAUACAAAGUUAGCUGGGUAUGGUGGUGCACACCUAUAGUCCCAGCUACUGGGGAGGCUGAGACAGGAGAAUCACUUGAAUACGGGAGGCAGCAGUGAGCCAAGAUCAUGCCACUGCACUCCAACCUGGGAGAGACAGAGUGCCAUCUCAAAAAAAACAAACAAAAGAGUUGAUAUAAAUUUGCUGUUAUAAUUUGACUGUACUGUUUCUUGCACAUGUUGACAUCUGUAAUGACUGGAGUUUAUGAAAAUUUUUGAUGAGUAGGAGCAUACCAUUAACAGAGAGAAAUUUAAUCAAAAGAUUUUUAAAGUUCCUUCAGAGUCCAGACUUUGACUAAGUGUAGUAUGAUUUAUAUCUAUGUUGCAUACAAAAAUAUCAAACAGUAAUUCCCAACUGAAAUACAAGUAUCAAUCAAUUGUGUAACAAUGCAAAAUCAUUUAAUUUAAAGUUAAUUUAUAGCAAAUGAGUACUGUAAUAGCAUAAGCAUGCCGAUACUUUACAAAGGAGAGAGUGGAAAGGUAGGAUAUUAUAACUAAUUGAUCAAAUCAUUGUUAAAAUUUAAGUUUAUUAAUACUUUUACUUCUGUCCGUAGGGAUCCAUGUUAAAUUGGGUAUAUUAUAAACUUAACUGCUAAUGAUGAGGUCCUUUUGCUAUUAGAAAUCUAUUUUUUAUUUUUCUUUAUUAUUUUUUGAGGCAGGGUCUUGCUCUGUUGCCCAGGCUGGAGUGCAGUGGUGAAAUUAUAGCUCACUGCAGCCUCAACCUCCUGGGCUCAAGGAAUCCUCCUGCCUCAGCCUCCCAAGUAAUGGAAACUGCAGUCGUAUACAAGCACACCCA